AAUCUUCCGCAAUGGACGAAAGUCUGACGGAGCAACGCCGCGUGAGUGAUGAAGGUCUUCGGAUCGUAAAACUCUGUUGUUAGGGAAGAACAAGUAUCGUUCGAAUAGGGCGGUACCUUGACGGUACCUAACCAGAAAGCCACGGCUAACUACGUGCCAGCAGCCGGUGUAAUACGUAGGUGGCAAGCGUUAUCCGGAAUUAUUGGGCGUAAAGCCGGCGGAGGGCGUUUCUUAAAGCUUGUGUGAAAGCCCACGGCUUAACCGUGGGAGGUUAUUGGAAAAGGGGGAGGUUUGGGGGAGAAGGAGGGAGGGGAAACCCAUGUGUAGCGGGGAAAUGCGGAAAGAUAGGGAAGAACACCAGGGGCGAAGGCGACUCUCUGGUCUGCAACUGACGCUGAGGCGCGAAAGCGUGGGGAGCGAACA
rnacentral:rRNA from 1 species